GCCUAAAGCGUCCGUAGCCUGCUCUGUAAGUUUUCGGUUAAAUCUGUACGCUCAACGUACAGGCUGCCGGGAAUACUGCAGAGCUAGGGAGUGGGAGAGGUAGACGGUACUCGGUAGGAAGGGGUAAAAUCCUUUGAUCUAUCGAUGACCACCUGUGGCGAAGGCGGUCUACCAGAACACGUUCGACGGUGAGGGAUGAAAGCUGGGGGAGCAAACCGGAUUAGAUACCCGGGUAGUCCCAGCUGUAAACGAUGCAGACUCGGUGAUGCGCUGGCUUGUGGCCAGUGCAGUGCCGCAGGGAAGCCGUUAAGUUUGCCGCCUGGGAAGUACGUACGCAAGUAUGAAACUUAAAGGAAUUGGCGGGGGAGCACCACAAGGGGUGAAGCCUGCGGUUCAAUUGGAGUCAACGCCAGAAAUCUUACCCGAGGAGACAGCAGAAUGAAGGUCAAGCUGGAGACUUUACCAGACAAGCUGAGAAGUGGUGCAUGGCCGUCGCCAGCUCGUGCCGUGAGAUGUCCUGUUAAGUCAGGUAACGAGCGAGAUCCCUGCCUCUAGUUGCCACCAUUACUCUCAGGAGUAGUGGGGCGAAUUAGCGGGACCGCCACAGUUAAUGUGGAGGAAGGAAGGGGCCACGGCAGGUCAGUAUGCCCCGAA
rnacentral:rRNA from 1 species